CGAACGCUAUAUAUAAUACAAGAGAUUCUAUCAGAUGAAAUGCUGCUAGUCCGUCGUCUCCACCAACUCUCAGCUCCUUUUUUUUCCCCAUUUCGCGUCAAACCCUAGCUAGCUCUACAAACCAGUCAUGUCGUCCAAGCAAGGAGGAAAGGCGAAACCUUUGAAGCAGCCAAAGGCUGAUAAGAAGGAAUACGAUGAGCAUGACAUGGCCAACCUGCAGAAGAAGAAAGACGAGGAAAAGGCACUUAAGGAACUAAGAGCUAAGGCGUCACAGAAGGGAUCCUUUGGAGGCUCUGGCCUUAAGAAGAGCGGCAAGAAAUGAUCCGUUUUAUCCAUGUAGCCUGAGUGCAAAUUUAUCAACUUAAUAAAUGAUAACAGAUAAUUGUGUGUUGUGUAAACUUGUAUCAUGUUCGCUUCCGCCACUUUUUCAUGAUAAAAGAUAAAUGGUUUCCUUA